CCCUUGUCCUUAGUUGCCAGCAGGUGAAGCUGGGCACUCUAAGGAGACCGCCGGUGAUAAAUCGGAGGAAGGUGGGGAUGACGUCAAGUCCUCAUGGCCNUUAUUGNCCGGGGUUACACNCUUGCUACANNGGCCGAUAUAAAGGGUUACAAUACCNCNAGGNGAANUCAAUCCCAAAAAGUCGGUCCCAUUUCGAAUUG
rnacentral:rRNA from 1 species